CUAGAGACCGGCGCACGGGUGCGUAACGCGUAUGCAAUCUACCUUUCACAGCGGGAUAGCCCAGAGAAAUUUGGAUUAAUACCUCAUAGUAUAGUACCUUGGCAUCAAGGAAUUAUUAAAGAUUUAUCGGUAAAAGAUGAGCAUGCGUCCUAUUAGUUUGUAGGUGAGGUAACGGCUCACCUAGACUACGAUAGGUAGGGGCCCUGAGAGGGGGAUCCCCCACACUGGUACUGAGACACGGACCAGACUCC
rnacentral:rRNA from 1 species